rnacentral:lncRNA from 1 species
GGCAUGAACCAAAGUAACAAACGAUCACGGAUCCAUCAAUGACCGUGAGUUGCCAACGGCGAACGCAGCUGUGCUUUGUAACGUGGGCACGGUGGUGGUUCGGCGGUGGCGGGUCGCUGUCAAUGCAGUCCCGUUUCGGCUAAGCCGUCCAGACCCGUAAGAGGCAAGAGGACGAGUCAAACGGGCGGGCGCCUCUCGAUGCUCGCAACAGCCAUGAGGUCAUCCGCAAUGGUUAUGCUAAGAGGAAUUCUAUUGGCUCUCAAUAGCACUUUACGAAUAGCUAGCGAGAUGAUAUAUAAAAAUAAUAAAAAAGUAGUACUCUUAUUGGCUAUCGAGAAGAGAGAUCAAAUAGCUAACGACUUCCUAAUAGCUAGCGACACAUAAAUAGCUAAUCUAGCAUAAUCUUCUAGAAAUAACUCUCUCACAAUACUCUCCACAAUAGUUAGUGACUUCCUAAUAGCUAGCGACUUCUUAAGCUAGCUAUUUCCAAAUUGCCAUUGAGAACCAAUAAUAUUCUUUCUAGAGACUAAAUAGCUAGUGAUUUGAACACCAUUGCAGACGUCCUUAGCCUGCAGUAGUAGUAGCAUUUGCUAUUGCUAUUGCUAUCGCACCCAACGUGCAACGAGCACAGCUGCACAGGCCUACUGCUGCUACUACGGCCACCCUACCGGAUCAAUGGCUGAGAUCGGUUCCGCAUACGGGGCGCACGAGCCAGUGCGUGGGCCACCGCUAGACUGUUCAAAAUCGCUGGCCCACCGGCUACCGUCCGGCCCCCAGGCGAUGACACGACGACCCCACUGGCCGCGCGGGCCCAGCGCGCAGCGAGUCGGGUGCCAGUACAGCGCGUCGCGCAAGUUGCCCGCUGGAUCGAGUAGGAGGAGUACUUGGAUAGGACGCAGUGGGCCCCGGCCGCGAUGGCGGGUCGUACUGGACGCGCGACCAGCCGUUGCUCUGCUGGGCCCGCGACCCGAUGACGGGGACGGUCAUGGAGCCCGCGGUACGGGCAAGGGGCCCUUUCGCUUUCGCGUCCAGGCUGCCCAGUGGGCUGCCUCGGGCCUCACGACCAGAAUGACACAACCGGCCGCGGGCCUUCUCCAAAGCCUGCACGGGACGGCGAGACGGAGACACAGGCACACAGACACAGCACAGCAGCGGCGCUCUAGCCUCUACUUCUACUCCUACUAGGCCUUGUUUAGUUCCCAAAAAAUUUUGCAAAAUUUUUCAGAUUUUCCGUCACAUCGAAUCUUUAGAUACAUGCAUGGAAUAUUAAAUAUAGACGAAAAUAAAAACUAAUUGCAUAGUUUGGUCGGAAUUGAUGAGAUGAAUCUUUUGAACCUAGUUAGUACAUAAUUGAACAAUAUUUAUCACAAACAAACGAAAGUGCUACAGUACCUGUUUUGUAAAAAAAUUUGGAACUAAACAAGGCCUAGGUGGCGCUCGCAGACGCAGGGUUGCAGGAAUCGACGAGCCGUAUAGUGGCGCCAGUGUUGCUAUCUAGGUACUGCGUAGGAUACAGCGAGUAUCACGUCGAUCGUACUAGGGCACAGUCCCUGGUUUUGUUGGAAGGGGACGAGACAGUUCUUCCUCGUCUCCGUGCUUCAGAGUUCACAUCAAGGGGGGAAGCGGGGCGCACAGUGAAAAGAUUUGCUGGGAUGCAAAAAAAGUAGUGUGGAUCGGUCCUAUAACUGUUAACGUGACUGCGUUUCGAUGUCACCACGAUGUUUGUUGCAAAGCGAUGAAUUCGGUGUUGACGAUGUGUCUAAGAACGACGAACAUCACUACUAGCUGUCACUGACUCACUGCAUUAGCACGUUGCCUUUGCCAUUCACGAGCAAAUAUUGGCAAGUCAUGAAAUAAGACAGUUUGGGUGUCUCUCGAAGCCACUGUUUCUAAAUAAUGAUGACUCCUCUCAUCUUUCACGGAAAGGAGAGGCUAGCCAAUGGAAACAAAGAAAAUGAAGCUUUUUGUCGGGACUUUUAAAUCUAAUAUGUCAAUGUUUUCUCACCUUUUAUACGAGAAAGAAAGGUUACGCGGUGAGAAAAGAAAAUGAAGCUUUAUUCAAAAGAAACAAGCAAGCAUCUUUCCUGCUGCCAUUGUCACAUAUAGCCUUUUCAGAGACUAGCCUCGCUGAUUUUCGUCACGACUUUAGAAUAUUUUAUUAAAGAGUUUUUUUUCAUUUUUAUUGAAUCUUUUGCCUCGUAAACUUCUAUAGUUUUCCUUGAUAAAGUAGGAAGUGCAUGCGCAACACUGGUAGGAGAAAAAAAAAUCAAACAAGGGUGCUGCUACAAUCGUGUGAAAUUGUGUUCAAUGAUAGUGAACGCCCACCCAUAUGCCACUAUGCCAGUGUGUCUCGGUGGAGUUGACGAUUCGAAAAUCGAAUCAAAUUGUCCCAUAUAUCUACAAGGUGAAAUAUUGUUUACUAAAUGGACACCAAUAGCGGACUCAAUGCUCGAAUGGACCCCGAGUAAUAAGGAUCAAGACGCCAAUGACAUUUUGUGUCUUUAACCUUCCAACAAGACGUAAAAGCAAUAAAUUUUUCAAAGUGCAUCGGCGCCAAAGCCCGGAUGAACGCCUAAGUUACCAGGCCCUAAGUCCACCACUGGUGGACAUCGAGGUUCAGUGGAGUUAGAGAAUUUUACGUGGAAAGUGUCCCUUAUGGUUCAAAAAUUAUAUGAAAUUUCCCCUUGUUUGGCGGAAGCAGCAAAGGCGUAUGCUUCAUCACCAAUUCAGGCCGGUCUUUGAUUGUCUUCUGUUGUUGCUUUGUUGGUGUGUCUCGAAGUAGAGGAACAAGCGCACUUUCGAUAACAAGGCUUCUUCGAUCGCCAUGGUGGUUAGGGAUGCUGCACUAGAGGAUGGGUUCAGGCAGGGUUCUCCUGCGUCUCGGCGUUUGCUACACUUUGGUCGCAAAAUCUGGCUGAUUUGUAAUAAACUCAAUUAUGUUCUAGUAGAUAGAUCUGUUACUUUGUUCUUGGCUCCUGCCAAUGGUCUCUCGCCACUGGCCAGGCCUCCCCUUGUACUUGUUCAAUUUUCCACUGCCUCUUAAUGAAACACAGACCGAUUGGUCUCGUUCGCGAAAAAAAAUUCCCUUGUGUAAUGGUCAAAAGGAAAUUAUAAUGAGGACGAUUAUGACUUCGUUUGGAUCUAUUCUAGCUAACUAUUAGCUCAGAAAAAGACCAUCUAACAACUUUUAGUUUGAUAAUGGAUAAGACACUAGCUAAUCUAUUAGAUAUAGAUUUAAAUGGGGUCUCAAAUACUUUUAGCAGCUAACUAUUACUAUUGGAUACAAACACCCUUUAGUUUUUUUUCAGCACCAAUCCAUCCCGAUCCAUAUGAGUUAAGAGGGAUUAAGGUAAAAUAAUCAAAUAAAUUUAACAUUGAUUUAAUUUGGAAUGGAUGAAUUGACAACAUUUUUAAGGAAGAAGAGAUGAAAUGGCCCCAAUACAAUGGCUUAUAUUACCGUGCACUUGCAAUAGUUGUUUCUCCUAUGGUGUGCUUGAUUCUUGGAUAUGGCUACUGGCUGAUACAGAAAUAAAAUUGUUGUAAUCACAACCUUGUAUUAUUUUUUAUCUCAUGCAUCAUAUCUUCACGAAUGCAACCAAACGACAUAUUUUAUUCGCCAAGCUAAUAAGAUACAAUCGACCAAAAAAGUAAACCAUUGCAUUUGUCGAGCCUGAUCCAAUGAAAACUAGCUCAACUGAUGCAAGCCAAACUAGAUCAUAUAAUCAGCUAACUAUAUAUCCUUACAGCCUGAUGGCGAACCAGUUGUAAGGCUGUCUCCAAUAGGAGACCUAUUUGGGAUCAGAAGAGACAUAACCCAAAUUUGGGUAUCCUCUCUCCUUGAGACCUAUUUGCAGAGAGUGUUGUCUUUUAGGUCUUGUUGUUGGAGAAGACUAAAAAUAGGUAUGUAACUUUUUACCUAUAGCGCUACCCAAAGGACAAAUGGGUAUUGUAUUUUGGGUAACGAUUGUUGGAGAUAGUCUAACUGUGUCACUCUCAACCAAACACAUUACUAUAAGCCGUAAGGGCCUGUAUGGUUACAGAGGGUAAAAUUUACCGCCCGUUGCACAUGUAUGAAAAACUAAAUAUAAACUAUUUACGAAACUAAAAACAUAGAUAAAAAGUAAUUUACAAGAUGAAUCUUUAAACAUAAUUAGUUCAUGAUUAAACAUUAAUUACUAAAUAAAAUAGAAAUGCUACAGCCAACCAAACACCCCCGGACGCAGUCACAACACUCGACUGGUAGAGUAUGUUGGACGUAUUUUUUUUUCUUCAAAAAAUGCGUAAUGCAAGCAGGAUAGAUCUUCAUCAGAUGCUACAAUGUCGUUUUCUUUUCUUCCUCCGUGUUGUUUUCAAUAUAAGGCCUUGUUUAGAUAUGAAAAUUUUUUGAAUUUCACUACUGUAGCACUUUCGUUUGUUUGCGAUAAAUAUUGUUCUAUCAAAGACUAACUAGGGUCAAAAGAUUCGUCUCGCGAUUUACAAUCAAACUGUAUGAUUAGUUUUUAUUUUCAUUUAUAUUUAAUGCUUCAUGCAUGUGGUAUAAAAUUCGAUGUGAUGGAAAAAUUUUGAAAACUUUUUGAUUUUGGAUGAACAAAACAAGGCCUAAAAAAAAUAAACAAGCCGUUUGCAAGAACUGAACUGUUGCUCCACUAGCGAUGAGGAUACCGUUCCGAGGCGAGAAAAGAUGUCCUUUGCUGACACGUCACACGACGGUGCAAAGCGGACCGGGCGCGCGACGUGACAGUUCGCUUGAGCCCAUGGCGAUGGUACGGCCUUGUUUAGUUCACCCGAAAUCCAAAAAGUUUUCAAGAUUCCCAAUCACAUCGAAUCUUGAGACACAUGUAUAAAGCAUUAAAUAUAGACAAAAAUAAAAACUAAUCGCACAGUUUGACUGUAAAUCACGAAAUAAAUCUUUUGAUCCUAAUUAGUAUAUGAUUGGACAAUAUUUACGGACGGCGGACCCGUGGACCCGCGGGCGGGACCCAGGGCAGUCGUCGCCGACGUGUCAGCCGGCACGGCGCAUGGGCCCCACCUCUAUCGCGUGUCAGGCCUCUCCGAGCUCGAAACGUGUCCCACAGGGGCAGGUGACCCCACCUGCACGACGGCGUACUACGGGCGCACGCACCUCUGGUGGUGGACUUGCUGUACUGCUGUGGGUGUACAGUGUAUAGUACGUACUACUGCUGUACGUACUGCACCCCCGGCCCAUAAUGCCGUGGGCCCGCCGCGUCAUCCGCGCGUGGUUUUGGUUGCUACUGUGCGGCACUGCCGCAUCGCUGGCACAGCGUGACGCACCACGCACGGAGCCGAACCGAGCCGAAUCCCCCCACCCGCGAUGCCACGCACGGCCUUGCCGCGGUUGCCGCCAUGGAUGAUGGGCCCGCCCGCCGCGGUGGCGGCCCGAAGGCCGAAAGAUCCACCAGGGUAUCCAACGGCUCUUGCAUAGCGCUAAUGGGCACGUUACUGUUCCGUGCGACGCAAGUGCCAAAUUGGCAAAUGGCUGUCUAUUUUUUUCUAUUGUCGGCAGGCUCUUGGAGGUGUCGUUCUGGUUUGGUUACUGUUUCGGCUUGUGCGUUUGUGAGUUUGUGUGCGUUUUGGAUGUUGCUGUUGUGCCUGUUGUCCUUUUGCGAAAAUAAAAAUCUACUUAUAAACUGAUGUAGUCGUUUUGUGAAUUAAAAUGCUGUAGAGACUGGCUGAGAAACCAAGACUCGUUCCAUGAAUCACCCUCGACGAUGAUGUGCUAACACAAAAAAAAAUCCAAUAGAUUAAUACUAGUUAUCAGCUAAAAAUAGUAGGCGAGGAUCAAACAGGCUACAGGCCUGCUUAUAGAUUUAUUAAAUCCGCUAAGCAAAUGGAGGUGAGGAGGUUCUGGUGGUUCAUGUAGAUCUUCAACUAAUCCAACAAUCUAUUAAACGUCCACAUGGAUUAGUAGAAUGAAUCAAGGUUUUCCUGAGACGAGAUGGGUAUGCAUAUGCAGAUAUGUUUCAUGCGGUUACGGGGCGCGGACCAGUCAGUAUGGAGCCGGGGGCAUCAUGCAUGCAUGGAGAGCGCCGACCGUGAACAGCUGUGGCAUGCAUGGGCGUCCAGGCAGCCCAGCAGUGUGAAAAAAAAAAAGACGAUCCAUCAAUGUCUUGUACAUGUGCUGUGCUAACAAUGGCAUUCGUUCCUCCGAGGUAGCUGGUGCCGAGCUCUCACAUUCAGCUCGGCUGGCUCCACAGCUGUUUACAUGCUGCUGCUCUGGCUUGUUUCUCUCGGUCAAGCUACGCUAGGCAGGUGGCUGAACAUGUCACUGCAUUAGAAUCACCGCAACGGCGCAACCCACACGUUGUAUAUCCCUUCUCAUCACUAACCGCAGGCUUUAUUAGCUUAGUUCACUGAUGAGUGAUGACGGACGACGACGACGACGACGCGACCCAAAGAACGAACGAUCCGGUCGACGAACUGUUCCUCGAGGGCCCGAGCGCAUGCAGUCGCUGUAGUCUGUAGGCAGGCAACAGUGUAAUGUGAAGCCCAGUCGGCCGGCACGGCAUGGCAUGGGCGUGCGCGACCAUGCCAACAGGAACAGCGGCCUCGACAGGUCGCCGAGACGACAACAGCAAAGGGACCGACGUGAUGCACGCACGAGCGCGAUUCCUCCAUGCCGGAUGCCGGUUGCCGGAAGCCCGCGGUCAAAAGGAGGCCCCGCCCGUGCCGACCCGGCGCUCUCUGCUAGCGCGUAGCGGCGCACAAUCAUGCACGCGAACUGUGCGGUGAUCUGACGGGACGACGACACGGCCGGCCGGGGCAUGCAGAUGCACAAGCACAGCAGAAGCAGCAGCAGCAGCAGAAGCGAGGAAAAGGCAAAAAACCGGAAGCGGGCAGGGCAAAAGGGGACGGUCGCCGAAGCGAGACGAGGAAGGAGGGCACGGACACGGGCGUACCUUGAUGGGGGCGCCCGUUGUUCUCCACCCGCAUCGCCAUGUCAAGGUCACACAUCGUCCUCGUCCACGACGCCGCGCGCCAAAGCUGGAACUGAAAGCAGGAGGCCGGGCACGAGCCGGCAGCCGGAUCGCGGCCACUUCUGUGUCCGUCCCCUCGUCUGUCUGCCGACCGAUCGAGAGGUGGAAGAAGAGCUAGGUCCUCGUCUGACUGCUGCUGCCUGGGGCUGGGGGCGUGGAUCACGAGCCAAGAGAUGCCGGGCGCCGGGGUCUUAUUGUUAUUGGUGGCUGGCAGGCUGGGCGAAGCUAGCGAUGGCUGGCUGGCGCUGCUAGGGGGAGGGGGAGGAGGAGGAGGUCCGUGGUGGGUGGGGCUCCCUCGGGCUCGUCUGCACUACUGCAUCCCUGGCCUCGUCGUCGUAAGCAAAAGAUAUCGGUGAUGUAAGCUUCAAGAUAUGCCCAAUUAUUGCCGCUGGCGCACGGAGAAAAAAUAUUGCGCCGGUGCAGGUGGUAUGCGACUUCCAUUUUUGCGAGUUGCGGCUACUGCUCGCUCGUUGGUAAUGGACUAAUGGUGUGGAUGAGCCAUUAGCCAUUAGCUGAUCGAUGUGCGAGCUUUAGCUUCCGUUAGGUUUAGGUGGAGGGCCCCCCGCGUUCCCUGCAGCAAAUGCGGCUGCCACUAUAUACAUCGAUCAUAUUCGCCAUUAAAAAUACCACAACAUGGUUGGUCAAGAGGAAUCCUUUGCUAAAUAAGGUGGUCCGCUGAUCCUAGUUACCAACUAUGGUGCGUCGAAAUGACCCAACAUAUGGUACACAUUUGUUUAGCAAGAUUUGCGCUUUGUAGUGUAGUCCCCCAGGCUCUCAGAUAGCGAAAUAAACAAGACAGCACUAACAAAAGUUUAUAUAAUUUCCGUCUAGUCACCUGAUCAGAUCAUUGGUUGGCCAAGUUGAGAUCUAGUCAGACAUUUGAGUAAUCCGACGCGCAUCGGCAGUAGUUAUCUGAAGUGAUGUGUAUGCAGUCGUUGGGCUAAGGCCUUGUUUAGUUCACCCCAAAAAGCAAAAAGUUUUCAAGAUUCCCCGUCACAUCGAAUCUUGUGGCACAUGCAUGAAGCAUUAAAUAUAGACGAAAUCAAAAACUAAUUACACAGUUUAGCUGGAAAUCGCGAGACGAAUCUUUUGAUUCUAGUUAGUCCAUAAUUGGAUAAUAUUUGUCACAAACAAACGAAAGUGCUACAGUACCGAAAUCCAAAAUCUUUUCGGAACUAAACAAGGCCUAAAAUAAAUUUGUGCCGCACGAAGAGUUGCAGCUGAUGACCUGUUGGAAAGGGACUGAUAUGGUUUCAUAUGGUCUGGAAGCUCAUCCGCUUUGUCGCCACACCAUCGAUUGCUCGGUAUUGCCUGGCAUUCCAAUGAAGAACAUUGUAUAUAUGGCUGGCCUGGUGGUUGAGUUCUUUUUUUCUUAUUGAAAGACAGCUUACUUGGCACCUCCUUAAAAGACAAGGUUGUGUGUGCAUCACCUCCUUAGCAAUUUCAGGAAGAUAUAUAGUUUUUAAAUAAAAGUCGUUGUUGCCUUUUUUUUGUGAAUCACAAUAUUUCCAGGUAUUUAUUUAUUGGCUCAUUUGUCCGAAUAGGAUAUGCGAGGGAAUAUACCCACCGUUGUGAAAACUUUGUUUUUGUAGUAAAAUGACAAUAUCUCGAGGGGUUUAGGUCUGAUUGUCCCCCACAAUAAAAGUUUGAGAAAAUACGAAAUAGUAGAAAGGGACACACACACAAAAAGAUACGAGGCCUCAAAAGCCCACGACGAGAACCUGAACUUCCGAAUGGGCUGCGAUCCAAGAACAGAUACGUGUCUAAGAAAUGGGCUCAUCUAACCAUAUCUACAGCCCAGUAGUUUUGCAAGCUCUGUACCUUCUGUUCUGCAUGUCCAUGACCAUGUCUACAGCAGCGUCCUUCGCAGGUUGCUGUUGUUCUUUUUUUUUUUCAGAAAUCAGAACACAAAACAAUAGGGAGUUGCCGACAAAGAUUGAGCCUAAGUAUCUGUUCAACAAGAUCUGACUGAGCGUUGCUGAGUUUGCUCAGAGUUUGCUGCUUGCCACAUGUCAACACAAUAACACCAGCGGUACUAGUAACAGGAAUUGGAGGGAAGAAGCUAAAGUAUAGCAGAAGACGGGAUAAUUUGGAGAGCGGUGGAAGGAUUUUUGGAAUUAUUGUAUACUUAUUUAUCUUUUCUUUUUUUUCUCGAAUACGCAAGAGGAUUGCGUAUCAUUAUAUUAGAAGGGAAAGGAAAUUCGAACAAUACAAAACGAGUUCACCUGCCGUAGCAGGAAAUGAAAUAAAAACACUGCAGACUGUAACCAUCCUCGGUGGAUAGCGAUGCUACCCCCCGAGCCAAGAACUCCUAAAUUUCUUGCGCCCGCGCUCAUCCAUUGUUCGGCGUCUGCUUUGAUCACAGCCAGUAGCUCGAGUACGGUGAGUGUGGUCCCCCGAAAGCAACGCGCGUUCCGCUGCUUCCAUAUAUGCCAAGAGACGAGGGCGAACAGCGAGUCUGCGCCCUUCCUCGCCGGUCCAUGCCACAGGGCCCGGAUGCGCCUCCACCACGCGAUGACUGUCUGCUGCGCCGGUGGCAAUUGUUUGUCCAGACCGGACAGGAUGAGGAACCAUACCUCUCUAGUGAAAGGGCAGUUCGUCAGUAUGUGAUCGAUGGACUCAUUCGCCUGGUCACACAGGAAACACUCAGACUAUGCUUGCAGCCCGUGUCUCGCCCGACGAUCAUUGGUCCAGUGUCGCUUCUUGAAGGCCAGCCAAAGAAAGAUCUUUACCCGUAGCGGCGCCCAGGAGUUCCAGAUUAGCUUGUGGCCCCGAAAAAUGGUUCCACCAGCUUGAAGUUUGCAGUAGGCUGAUUUUGCCGUGUACUCCCCAUCGACUGUCCAUCGCCAGAUGGUUGUGUCCGGGCUAUCGGUAAGGAUGAUGUUCUCAGUGGCCGCCCAAAGAUCUAGGUACUCGCCAGCCUCAACAAUAGAGAGCCCGCCACAGAUCGAUCUUAUCCAAGCCCGUCCCGAUAGUCCUUGGCGCACCGUCAAGGUAGAUUUGAUUCUUCUGGGCACCUUUGUGGAAAGGUUGGGUGCGAUGUCACUGAUACCUUCUCCUUGGAUCCAUCGAUCCUCCCAGAACAAGGAAGAGUUGCCGUCACCGAGGAGCGUGAACGUGGAGGCCUUGAAGAAAGCCAAUACCUCUGGGUCGGCUUUGAUAGGUAGCUCACUCCAUGCUCUGGUGUUAUCCGUCUUUUGUAGCCACAACCACCUGGUUUGAAGGGCGUAGCCGACCAACUUCAAGUUUGAAAUGCCGAGCCCACCUAGUUCCGUUGGCCGACAGCAAGUUUCCCAGGCCACCAUGCAUCGGCCGCGCACCGAGGCAUCUUUGCCAACCCAAAGAAACUUCCUGCAGAUCGCAUCGAUCUCUUUGCGCACCCACGGAGGUAAACUGUCAGCCAUCGUCGAGUAGAUGGGGAUCGCCCUUAGGACGGACUUGAUCCAGAUCAGGCGACCGCUCCUUGCCAUGAGAGAUCCGUGGCAGGGCGGGAGCUUCCUUGCAACCGCUUCGAUCAACGCCUGAUGUUCUGCCUUUGGCACCUUCUUGGUGGUCAGGGGCAAACCAAGGUACCGUAGUGGGAACUGCUGCACCUGGCAGCCUAGGAUGCGCACGAUGUCGUUCAAGACCUCUUCACCGCCAUAGAUCGGGGUUACUGAGCACUUGGACAGAUUGGUUUGGAGUCCAGUCGCAGCUCCAAAGAUGGAAAGAAUUUCCUUUACUGCAAGGGCUUCUUGUAUGGUUGGUCUGAUGAAGAUGAUUGCAUCAUCGGCGUAGAUACUGCACUGAAAUUUGAUCCCAAGCGGCUCAAUAGGUCUCAGCACGCCAUCUGCACUUGCCUUUGCCAUCAGCCGGUGAAGGAUGUCCAUGGCCAGUAUGAAUAGCAUAGGUGAAAGGGAAUCCCCUUGGCGCACGCCCCGUAGGUGCCUGAUCGCUGGUCCUGGUGUUCCGUUAAGCAUUAUCUGGGAGGAUGCGGUGGCGAACAGCCCCUCAAUCCACUGGCACCAUCUCGGUCCGAACCCCCGCGCCCGAAGCAGCUCGAACAAAAAGGGCCAAGAGAGCGUGUCAAAGGCUUUGGAGAUGUCGAUCUUGAGAAGCAGCAUCGGCGUCUUCUUUUUGCGCAGCAUGACCGCGGCCCGUUGAACAUAUUUGAAAUUGUCGUGUAUGGUCCGCGAUCUGAUGAAUGCGUUUUGGUUUUUCUCCACCAGCGCGUCUAGCUUCGGCGCCAACCUGACCGCGAGGAUUUUUGAGAUUAGCUUGGCGAAGCUGUGGAUCAUGGAGAUUGGCCGAAAAUCGGAUGGCGCUGUUGCUCCGACCCGCUUGGGAAGAAGGAUGAUGAGGGCGUUGUUCAAUUUGCUCAUGCCGCGCCGAUCUCCUGCAGUGAACGCACUGACGGCGGCCAUCACGUCCUCCUGGAUUAUAUUCCAGGCGCUCUUGUAGAACGCCCCUGUGAAACCGUCCGGUCCUGGUGCUCGGUCCGCGGGCAACUGCUUGAUUGCGUGCCAAACUUCUUCCGCGGUGAUGUCCAGUUCAAGGUCCUCUAGCGGUACUGGGUGAAUCCCAAGUGCCGUAAAGUUCAGCGUGGUUCUAGUUGAUGGCGCUGCACCGAAGACUGAGCUGAAGUGAUCGAACAGCGCGCGUUCCAUGUCAUCGUGGUCCGCAGCGACAUGUUCAUCGAUGGUAAGAGAUGGGAUGUAGUUCCGGCGUUUCCUGCCCCUGGCGAUGAGGUGAAAGUACGCAGUGUUCGCGUCUCCCUCAGAGAGGUGGCGGAUACGCGAACGCUGUCUGGCGAUCGUCCGAUCGAGUGAGGAGAGGCCGAGGCAUCUGAGUUUCAUCCUCUUGCGCAGCUCCUGCUCUGUUUCGCUCAGCUGUCGCACUUCCUGCGCCGAGUCGAGGCAGUAGACGAGCUCUCGUGCCAUGAGGAGUUGCUCCUUCACCCCUCCGAUCCUCUUCGCUGACCAGCUUUGCAGGGCGCGGGUUAGAAUCCGAAGUCGAUCAUCAAGCCGUGCGAGUGGUCCCUGGUGACUGUCCGAUCCAUUCCAGGCGUCGUUUACAACAUGCUGAAAUUCCUCGAACCGUGGCCAGAACACCUCGAAGUGAAACCUGGCCUUGGACAUGCCUCCCAUGUUGGUGCACAGCAACAAAGGACAGUGGUCUGAGGCGUCCGAACCAAGAGAUCGUAGGUGGGCGUUGGUGAAUAUCUCGUCCCACUGUGUCCAGACAAGUACCCGAUCGAGUCGUUCCAGCGUGGGGUUCUGGCGCUCGUUACUCCAGGUGAAGCUGCGGCCAUGCAGGUGGACAUCGUGUAGCUCUAAGGCUCCCACUGUGUUCCUUGUCUUCGAUCCCUUCUCUCUAAACUCGCCCAGCUAUUUAACAGCUAAGGCACCUCAGUUCAUGGGUCUUGCCCUGUCCAUGUAUACAUCACACUACUAAGCCAUUCGUUCUGCCAUUGGGAACCCAAGAACAUUUGUUGGGCCUCCUCUUCAGUCCUCGCCCCAUCCCGUGCAUCUAGACUUGCCUCCACAUGUUCAGGUUCAGGACUGCUGACAUUGCCUCUUCUUGAGAUGCAGCUUGAUCCCAAGCAUGUGCAAAAGAGAAUUGUUGUUGCACAACCGUCGAAUCUUCCUAAGUUGCUUGACUCUCAGACCACCCCGACCGCCACUCGAUCCAUACUUGAUGAAAUGGAGACAAGAUGUGUGCCCAACGUUUCUGUAGGACAUGUUUAGGAACGCGUAAGAGUUCAAACCUUAUGGCAUCUUAUUGCUGCCAAGCAAAACAAGCGCUAAGGCUCUUGUAGCAGGUAGCUAUGAUCGAUUUGGUUCGACACCGUUGGAUCCCUUUUGCUUUACAUAUACACCCUGUACUGCAAUUCUGCAGACGAUCGCUUCAUCUCAUCAACCAUUGCGUGUAGGAAGCAAUACGCAUUCAGCUAGCUGCUAUAUAUAGAAACCUCUCCUGUCAGCUGCUCUUCCUCUGGUCCGAGAGGUAACCGCACAGAUCAGGAAAACUAGAGGUAGUGUUCACCCACCAAUCCGUGAUUGUCACAUCUGGAUACACAGCUGCUAGCUUUUUCACUAGGACGAACAGACUGAAUGCCAAUAGUAGCACUUCAUGUGCAUGCCACCGAUAUAUAUAUGUACCGAUGCUCACAAAACGUUGCGUGAGCGUGUAAUUAGGAUUCGGUAGAUAGACAAUUAAGCAUGUCACAAUCUGGUGUGUAUUCGGUGAACUUUGCGUCAAACAGCACACUCAACCAGCAUGUCACGAUCGGCCCCGUUUCGUUACCAAUUUUCGUUCGGUUUAAAGCAAAUAUAUGCACCGUUCCUUCAAAUAUAUGCAGUACAUUCGGUGCGGUAUUGCCACAAAUUAUUCAACCCGAUCGAGCUACAUGCUACUGAUGUGCUCGAUCAACGCAAACGCCGCAUUGCGCGUGCACAAUAUAGCUAUAGCACACUAGUAAUACUGUAUGUUGUCACGGUACACAUGAGGCCUAGCAGCCCAAGCAAGAAGAGUACAAGACACAAGAAGCUGAACCCGAAGUUUGUUGGCCCAACUUGGAGCAAGUAAUUAACCUGAAGCUCAGUCCAGCUGCGUCUGGAGAGCGUGCUGUGCUUAACAGCUGUGUAAUGAAUUCAGUUUAAGAAGAAGGAGAGAGAGCAAACUAGGGGAAAGUAAAAUAUUUUUUUUUCGAAAGACGGCAUAAAGAUUUUGCCGUAUUUUUAUUAGUCGAGGAAAAAAAAUGCAACAUAAUUACAACUCCCACUUAAAAACUCUCAACCACUGGAGGGAAAGUAAAAUAUGCCCUUUGCUAGAAUAUUGUUACAUAUGUGUUGGUGUGUGUGUGGUACAAACUCUUCAUAUCUAUACUUGUAUGGCGCGGCCUGACCCGCGUGCGCGGCUGCAUGCACUUGUGCGCGGCUGCUUGGCGAAGACCGAAGAGCGUGUUGCUGAGCAGCUGGUUGGAGGUGACGAAGCCCACCAGGAGCGUGCCCUGGAUCACCGUGUCAGGAUCUCCGACGCGCAAGGGUGCGUGUGCGGCGGGUUCUGCCCGCCGGCCGGGGACGAAGUCGAUGCGCGCCAGCGAGAUGCCCAGCGUGUUCAGCCCCGGGAUCUGGCCAUCUGGGCCACCGCCACCGGCGUCACGGCGGAGCCCUGCGCGCGCGUUUGGUGCCAUCGGCACUAUGUGGAAGAAGAUGUCGCGGUUGCGUUCACCACGUUCGGGUUCUUUUGCACACCACUCCGUUCACCGGCACUGCAUGCAUAUGCAUGCACACGUCCACCCGUGUCAGUACUUUUGUCGUCAUCGCAAAUCAUCAUACACAAUUAAUCACCUUUGAGUAGUAUACAUUGCAUGCAUGCCUUCAAUACAUGCAUAAAUAUAGAUAACUGAGCUCUCUCUGUAGACUGUAUAGUGCUGCAAAAGUUCAUGCUUUGUGUUGCAUGCACAUAUAUGUACCUGCCUACAAAUGUACUGUGUUUAUUUACCAGGGCUAUUGUUAUCAGCAACGCAGAAGUCCUGGAGCUGGGUUGGAUCACAGUUACCAGACCACGGGGACUGAAGUAAAACCCACAACCGCUAGCACUGCAAGCAGUGUAGUAGGAGAAAGGCACAGGAAGCCACGGCGCUGUUUCUUUGCUAGUGAUCAAGUGUGCUCGAUCAAGCUGCUUGAUUAGUUUGUGGUCUGCAACACUUGCCAGUGCACCAAUUUAAAGGUAGUGUUCACCCAACAGUCUGUGAUUCUCGCAUCUAGAUCAACACAUGAAAACAGAGAAUCACUUGCGUAACGGCGAGCAGUCAAACCAAACAGGCAUGCAACCACUAGUCAGAUACUCAGAUCAUAUAUGUGCCCACACGAUGUAUAUAAUAUUUUAUACAAGUUUGAAUAUAUAUCUUGAGAUGCAAAAUCUAUACCUAUACCUAUUAAUCUAUAUCUAUAUCUAUCUAUAUAUAUAUAUAUAUAUAUAUAUAUAUACCUAAUACUAAAGAGGCAAAAUUUCAGCCUCAAAUUUGGUCAGGAAAUUUUUUCGUCUAAUCCAAGUCCCAGUCCGUCUCAUACUUUUGUACCAGAUUUCAGAUCGAGUCCAAAACAAAAUCACAUACAAAUCAGUACCAUAUACCAGAUUCCAGGUAGAGCCAAAACGAAACCACAAACAAAUCAUGUAUCAUAUAUCCGACGGCAAUAGCUCCGCGAGCCUAGAAAAUCUGCUGACUGGAGCUAGAACGCGCACCUAGAGCCGAAAAAAAUAGCUUCACCCGGCUCGUCUUUGGUUUGGUCCGCUUCGGUAUCGCACUGAUUCGGAGAUGGGAUGUGGCGGCACGGGGAGGAAGAGAAGUGAGGGCGCGCUGAUUUGGGGAGGAGAAGGGCGAGAUAUAUCCGACGGCAAUAGCUCCGCGAGCCUAGAAAAUCUGCUGACUGGAGCUAGAACGCGCACCUGGAGCGGAAAAAAACAGCUUCACCUGGCUCGUCUUUGGUUUGGUCCGGAAUAACAAAACAUCUGGUACAGAUACACCGGAAUACACCUGUAACAAAACAUCUCAUUCCAAAUGAAAAUCCAAAAUGAAAUUGAUAAAUAUAAGUAUGCUCGAGACGGAGCUGAUAGGAAGUUCAAAGCGAAAGGAUAGUUAAGGUUCGGAAAUAGAAAAAUAAAUUUGGUGACUCUUGGAACAUAUUGUUGGGAGUUGAGUACAAUAAUUUUUAUUUCGUACUUCCACUCCUGCUAACUCAAUUUUUUAAUUGAUGGUUAAAAUACAAACCAACACAUAAUAACAGUCGAUUUAGUUAGACGCUCGCUUUUACCUUGACAUGAAGCACAAAUAAAUAGUGACUCUUUUUGGGUUGUUAUAUGAUCCAAUAAAAUUCAUUCUUUAUAUAGUGUUUGUGCACAACUUAUUUCAUGUUUGAGUUCGCAUCGCCUAAUCUUACUUUUGCAAAUACUUAACAUGUUUAACAAGACAAUGAUAAUUAUUUUCAAAAAAAAAUAUUUAUAUUAUAGAACAAAAUAGAUGAAGACAAAGACAAAUUAUGUUAAAUAAUGUCUUCCUGCCUCCGAAUUUAAAAGUUACAAAGUAUAUGUAACUAUGAAUAUAUAUGGUCUCCUUCACAUAUUUUAUUUGAUUGUCUACAUAUGAAUAUUGUGAACAUAGAUUGUAUAUGCAAAUAGAAAUCAUUAAGCAAUAAUGACGAGUAAUUUUAAAAAAGUCUCAAACCAUGUUUAAUUGUCAAUUCCUUAAUUAAAAAAAUGUUCAGUUGUUUAUUAGACUUGGACAUAUUAGUGUUUAUUCUCCCGUUGCAACACACGGGCAUGUUUUCCUAGUAUAUAUUAAACGAGGAUGUGGUUGGGAAGACAAGAAAUGAUGUUGAACCGUCGUUAGAUUUUGACAUAAAGAAAUGCACUUUUACAUGGAGGUCGUAUUCAUAGAACCACAUACUGGAUGAACUUAGGGUCCCUAUUCAAACCGACUAGGAUAUUGCUUUAUCCCUACGUCGAGUUUUCUUGCGCACAACUUUGUAGAUGGAUCAAGCUACGAAUCAUCUUGUAAUGGGCUAAAACUACCGACCCAAGUCUAGCCAUAAGGGUAUAGGAAUUUAUACUCCCACAACUAGUCCCCGAGCACCAUGUAUUAUGAAGCGACACACCGUCUUGAACUUCUUCGACCAGUGAUAAGGACAAUCUUUUUUCAUAAUUACCGAAAAAGUAGGUUGUCCAAAUAAUGCAUGGUGCUCUUAAGAAAGAAGAUUUCUUUUCUCGUGAAGUGUGCCGACUUUACUUUUAUGAAAAGUAUAAGCUUCUAAAAAGCAAGCAUAUUCACCGUAAGGUGAAGUGUGACCACUUAGUCCCCGAGCCUGGUGGUUGGCACAGUCCCCGAGCACAACGUAGAGACUAGUCGAUAAAUCUCCGAGUGUGGUUGGGAACAUAAACGUACUCGGUGGUCGGCAUAGUCUUCGAGCACAGCGUAGAGACUAGUUAACAAAUUCCCGAGCGUGGUUGGGAAUGUAAGCAUGCUCGGUGGUCGGAGCAAUCCCCGAACACAGCGUAGGGAAUGGUCGACGAGUCCCCAAGCGUAGCUUGUUAACUAGGCCAAACUCCUAAAAAAUAAAUAUAGAAAAUAUGUAAUACAUGAUGUAUAAAUAAACUCUAGAUAAAAAACAACACCCAGUUUUAGAUUUUUUGUUUUAUUAAAAUUAGCACGAAUAGUUAAUUUAUCCUAGAGCUUGUACCAGCUCUGGUCUAGCCAACAAUCUAGAGCAUGAGAUGCGGAAAGACACACAUAGGAUUGCCAGCCUCACUAGAGAGCUACUGCCGACCACCCGAAACGUAGAGGGCGGAUCUCGUGCAUGUGUGGGGAGGAGUCGGAGACAGUGCCGGCUCUAAAAAACUCGUGUAGAAGAAAAAACUAAUCGGCUAACCAAAAAGUUAUUUUGAAAGAUAAUAAUAUCAAAAAUAUUAUGCUAAAAAUAAAUAAAAAUAUUAGAAGUGCACUUUUCUUUGGACGAAAGUCUGUUCGGUGGCGACAAAAUUGUUUGAUCCUCAAGUUUUAUGAUGUGUUGUCAUGAAGGUGGUCGCGAGCGCUGUUCUUUGUAGCCAUCAUUAUUGCGACAUGACAGGUGGUCAGAGUAGGCCAAGAAACUUGGUCGAAAGCCCGAGCAGAUCGGUGUUGUCGAUCUGUCUCCUUUUGUAGCCGGGAAGCGGCGAUGUGUUGUCGACGUGGUCGGAGACGUUGCUGAAGUGGUCGAAGCCGUAGCCAGCGUGGUUAGAGCCGCAACCGACGUCGAUGAAGAAGUGAUCGGCGCAGAUUAGAUCUGCACCUCCUCCAUGGUCGUGGCGGUGAAGUCGUUGAAGCCGGUGGUCUAGGUAAUCUGGCCGAUGGUGAACGUGAGACCGCUCGUCACGGCCGUGGAGUCGGAGAUAAUGACCAUCUGCUUCGCCUGGGAAGCUGUACGCACACUCCCUACCUGGCGUGCCACUAUCGACGAAAGCUGGUUGGCAGUCUACCUUAGGGUAUACCCACAGUAGUAGUUUAUCGGCAGACAGGUGCGCAAACUACGAACUUGAUGGUGACGUAAGACACAAACAAGGAGUUUAUCUUGGUUCGGCCGCCGUAAAGGCGUAAUACCCCCUCCUUACAUAGUCUUGGGGACAAGGUUACAAAUGUAGAAAUUAAUCCUAACCGGUUACAAUUCAACCCAAGUCUAGUCAUAAGGAUAUAUGGAUUUAUAUCCUCACAUAUAUCUUUACCGGCCAUGGAUGAAAGUCAUCCGAUAGAUUUAUCACUUAUUAUUCCGUUUGAGUCUAUUCCACCCAAACUUGAAUAAUAAAGUCUUAUGAUUUAGUUUUUAACACAUCCGCAUUUUGAAAAUAGUGCAAAAAGGUUUUAUCCCUAUGAAACUAUAUUUAUUUUCAUAAAAUUUUUAUUAUUUCUCUCUUUAUUUAUAUGAUGCCAUGUCAACAUAUUUAAUAUUUAUAAAACUUCAAUGAAACUUUAUUAGGACUGAUAUAAAACUCUAAUGAAACUCGUCUGGGACACGUUCGAACUUUGAUAAUGGAUGCUUUAAGUACAUACCUUCUCAUCGUUUCUUUAUAUGUUUAUAAGUACGUACCUUCUCGUCCCCUUUUUUAUAUGUCAUUCUCGAAAAUUACUAAAUACUCUCUGAUAUUUUGAACUUUAAGAUAUCAUGUUUGACCGCUCGUCUUACUCAAAAUUUUUGUACAAAUUAUAAAAUAAAUAAAUUAUUAUUAAAAUAUCUCUAAUAAUCAAAUAAAUCAUAUAAAAUAAAUAAUAUUAUACAAAAAGUUAUAAUAAAAUAGAUGGUCAAAUAAAAUGUCUGAAAAUCAACGACAGCGUUUUUUAAAUGGAGGAAAGUAUAUAUUAAACAUAUUAAUAUUUAUAAUGCAUAAUCAGUAUCAUUCGUUAGACCUUUAAAUUUAUUUUUAUAAUAAAUUUAUUUAGAGAUAUAAAUAUUACUAUUAUUUUAUAUUAAUCUAGCUAAAGUAAAAAAAAAAGCUCGAACAGACACUCAGCGACACUCAAUAAGAGACAAGGGAGUAUAUGCUCCGUACAUCUCAUUCAAAGGACGACUAAGCAUGUGCAAAUAAGUCAAAAUAAGCCAAUGCACUGUAGUUGCGCACGCAUGCACUAAUGCCCAGUUCGCAAAAAUUUUCAAGAUUUUCCGUCACAUUGAAUCUUUGGUCGCAUGCAUGGAGCAUUAAAUAUAGAUGAAAAUAAAAACUAAUUGCACAGUUUAUCUGUAAUUUGUGAGAUGAAUCUUUUGAGUCUAGUUACUCCAUAAUUAGACAAUGUUUGUCAAAAAAACGAAAGUGCUACAGUAGCCAAAAACCCAAUUUUUUGCCACCUAAACAAGGCCACAUCUACAAUACCACUUGAAGCAACAGCUCUUGCUUUGGUAGAAGCGAACUCCUUUUUUUCCUUCUUCUAGCUAGAAAGAGACUUAUUUAUCAUCUGUUUCUCUGGUCCGAGCAAAUCGCACAUGCAUAUCAGAUAAAAAAAAUAUUGUCGCACAUAUCGGGAAUUAGUUACUGAUACGGAACAAUCAUCUGACACAUAUCUUCUCGUAGCAGUAGGACUUUCGUGCGCCUGUGACAAACGAAGCUGACAAAUUAACGUUCUGCGUGUGCGACUGUGUGUGAGAUGUGGACAUGUGGUAGUAUAGACUAUAGAGUACAGCUAAGGCUGUCACGAUUUGGUUUCUGUUCGGGCGUGCAAGGGCUACCGGCGGCUUCGACCGCCGCGACGUGCUCCUCGGCCUCGGCGGGGCGCGCGGCAGCGGCCGGCUUCCUCGAUCAAUAACGCUCUGCUAAAUUUGCUACAUUUAAUUUUGAUUUAAUUUUCCGGCCUCCUCGAUCAAUAACGCUCUGCUAAAUCUGCUACAUUUUGAGUUAUUUUUCUCAAUAAAUUUAGCUAGCUGUGUUCUAACAUGUAAGCCGUGGCUUCUUAUGGCUGCCGAGCAAAACAAGCGCUAAAGCUCUUGUAGCAGGUAGCUACGAUCAUUUUGGUUCGACAGCGUCCGAUCCCUUUUGCUUUACAUAUGUCUUUCACGCUAAAAACCAAAUUUUUUUCAAGAUUCUCUGUCACAUCGAAUCUUACGACAUAUGCAUAAAGUAUUAAAUAUAGAUGAAAACAAAAACUAAUUGCACAGUUUGUCUGUAAAUCGCAAUACAAAUCUUUUAAGACUAGUUACUUCAUGAUUGGAUAAUGUUUGUCAAAUAAAACCAAAAUACUAUAGUGUUACAAUUAAAAAUCUUUUUAGAUCUAAAUAUGGCGAUAUAUACUGCAGAUGAUCUCUCCAUCUCAACCAUGCAUUUGCGUGUAGUAGGAAGCAACAAAAAGCUAGCUGCUAUAAAUAGGCCAUGUUUGGUUAAAUGGAAGUCUAGUCUCUAUCUUAUUGAAUGUUUGAAUAUAUGUAUGAAGUAUGCUAUUUAUACGAAACUAAAAACAUAAAUUGAGACUAAUUUACAAGAUGAUUUUUUAAGACUAAUUAGUUCAUAAUUAAUGAUAGAUCCAUGAUUGCUACAAUAAAAAAGUGCUAAUGAUAAAUUAAUUAGACAUACUAAUUUCGUCUUAUAGAUUACUGACAGAAUUUGUAAUUUAUUUUCAUUAGUAUUUGAACACACCAUGAACCACAUCCGAGUCCUUACAUCCAAACACCCUAUAGAAACCUGACUCAUCUGUUCUCCGGUUAUAGGAGCUAAUCGCACUUACAGUCCAUGACUCAGCUCGCCUGUUGAUCGAUGUUUACAGCUGCUGCUUUUUCGUCGCGAAUGAUUGAACUGUUACCGAAUAUGGGAAAAAAUUAGGUAGAAACUCUGCACCAUGUCUCUGUAUAGACCCACUUUGGAUGGAAGAUACGUGUCCCAAAACUCCAAUCACACGGAGACACGAUAUAGGAGGUCUACAUCCAAGAUGCGUCUCUAUGGAGGAAUCCUGGUCUCUCCGUUGUGUGUGUGUGUGUGGUUGUGGUCAGUUUCGUGCCCGUGUGACAAACGAAGAUGACAACACUCUGCGUGUAAAUAUGGUACAGAGAGUAUAGAUAGCUAAAACCCACAUCGAAUAUUUAGAAACAUACAUGAAGUAUUAAAUAUAAAUUAUUUAUGAAACUAAAAAUACAGCUAGAGAAUAAUUUACAAGACGAUUUUUAAAUCUAAAUAGUCUAUAAUUAAACAAUAAUUACUAUAAUUACAAAUAUACUAAAGUGUGUGUAUAUAUAUAUAUAUAUAUAUAUAUAUAUAUAUAUAUAUAUAUAUAUAUAUAUAUAUAUAUAUAUAUAUAUAUAUAUAUAUAUAUAUAAAAUUUUAGUUCCUUCAACCAAACAUCCGCAUGUCACGAUUUGGUGUGUUCAGUGAAUUUGUCAAAUACGGUCCAUACUUAGGCCUUGUUUUUACUUCCCAAAAAUUUUAUGAAGUUUUUUAAAAUUAUUUCCCAUCAUAUCGAAUCUUAUGACACAUGUAUGAAAUAUUAAAUAUAGAUAAAAAAUAACUAAUUGCACAGUUUCCCUGUAAUUUACGAGACGAAUCUUUUGAACAUAGUUAGUCUAUGAUUGGACAAUAUUUGUCAAAUAUAAACAAAAUGCUACAGUGUUCAUUUUAUAAAAAUUUUGGUAACUAAACAAAGCCUUAGCUAUCUAUACAUAGGGAUAGAUCGCAGUGAGAAUGAACCGAUGAAAACCGGCUGACCUAAACUCUGAUCUCCAAGGCUGGAGGGUAAGUUCUCCACUAGUAGUUGUGUUAUAGUAGUGUUCCUCAUUCUAUUUGACCCAAAUUAAAUCGGCGGUUUAACCGAUUGGACCAAUCAAAUCCGGUUCGGUCCUAGUAACUUGGGUACAGAUAGCUACGCGGGUCUGGAGUCUAUACCAGCAGCAUGUUACGACGAUCGUCCCCCGGCCCUGCCCGUUUCGUUGCCAAGCAAGUUUGGUCGUUUUUUUUUUUUGGAACAAGUUUGGUCGGUUUAAAACAAGUGCCGUGCAUCGCAAAAUACAGCAACACUUUCUCUUGGUCUACGAGGAACUAUAUAGACGUAGCACGAGUAGUUGGCAAUGAACCAAACCUCGACACGGCACAUGCAGCAGUAGCACGUGACAAACAACCAAAUCAAACAUCCAGUCCACUAGCUAGCCGAUCAUAGUUUUUUUUUUUACGGAACCUAGCCGAUCAUAGUUCUAUAUAUACUCCUAUAUAUAGCCACUCGCUAAACCAUGGCACGCCAUCGGUCGCAGCUCACAAGCAGCGCCAUGGGGAGCGCCACCAUGCCACGAAGUUUCGCCGCGCCACGCGCGCCAUGCCGCAGCCUCCAUACGCUCAGGUGCAGGUGCAAGGCUACCGGCGGCGCCGACCGCCGCGACGUGCUCCUCGGCCUCGGCGGGGCGGCGGCGGCCGGCCUCCUCAGCUCGUCGUUGUCGAACCGCGGCGGUGCGCUCGCGGCGCCCAUCCCGGCGCCGAACCUCAGCAACUGCCAUCCACCUGACCUCCCCGACACGGUGAGCGACAUCAACUGCUGCCCGCCGGGCGCGGGGACGGCGAUCGUCGACUUCACGCCGCCGCCGACGGUCGGGCGCCGCGUGCGCCCGGCCGCGCACCUGGUGGACGAGGAGUACGUUGCCAAGUACGAGAAGGCCGUGGCGCUGAUGAAGGAACUGCCGGACGACGACCCGCGCAGCUUCACGCAGCAGUGGCGCGUGCACUGCGCCUACUGCGACGGCGCGUUCGACCAGGUCGGGUUCCCGGACCUGGAGAUCCAGAUACACAACUGCUGGCUCUUCUUCCCGUGGCACAGGUGACGACGACGGUUCCAUGCAUGCUGGCGUCAUGUGAUCUUAGCUUGCUCGUGUAUAUGCUUUAGCGAUUGAUAAUAAUUAAUUAACGUGCAACUUUUGUGAACGUCGUUGCACUGCUUAGUUAGUUUCACAAAUUGGACAACGCGUGCAGGUUGUACCUGUACUUCCACGAAAGGAUUCUUGGGAAGCUCAUCGGCGACGACAAGUUUGCGCUGCCGUUCUGGAACUGGGACGCGCCCGGCGGCAUGUCGCUGCCGGCGAUCUACGCCAACAAGUCCUCCCCGCUGUACGACGAAAGGCGUGACCCUGCUCACCAGCCGCCAUUCACGGUGGACCUCGACUACGACAGGAUCGAGCAAAACAUCCCAAGAGCUCAGCAGAUCGAUCAGAACCUGAUGAUCAUGUACCGUCAGGUCAGUGUUAGUAUAGCUAGCUAGCUGGCUGUGUCUUGUUGUACGAAAUAUUACACCCUCGAUCAGGUGUCAGGUUUGCUAGUGCGACACUGCACUAACAGUGAACACUCAGUUCUUGGACGUAACUGAACACUUGAUCUUAAAACUUUAAAAUUGAACACUUGAUGUCUGAUUAGCAUAUGGAUGAUACACAUGCAUGUCUCUACUCUACGUCAGAUGAUCUCCGGUGCCAAGAAGAAGGAACUCUUCUUUGGGCUGCCUUACCACCAGGGCGACCAGCCAGACCCAGGCGCAGGCACCGUAGAGAGCGUCCCGCACGGCCCAGUACACUUCUGGAGCGGCGACCCGAGCCAGCCGAACAACGAGGACAUGGGCAACUUCUACUCCGCCGCGCGCGAUCCACUCUUCUUCGCGCACCACGGCAACAUCGACCGCCUGUGGUCGGUCUGGAACGGCCUCCGCGCCGGCAACACCAACUUCACCGACCCCGACUGGCUGAACGCCAGCUUCCUCUUCUACGACGAGGAGGCCCGCCUCGUGCGCGUCCGCGUCCGCGACUGCCUGGACACCGCUGCCCUGGGCUACAGCUACCAGGAUGUUGCCCUGCCGUGGCUGAACGCCAGGCCGACCACGGAGACCGGUUCUCCGGUUCCCGCCGCGGGCGCGCUCCCGGCGACCCUGAACCAGACCGUGAGGGUGGCCGUGACGCGGCCCAGGACCUCGAGGACCCGCCAGGAGAAGGACGCGGAGGAGGAGGUGCUGGUCGUCGAGGGGAUCGAGGUCGCCGACCACUUCAGCAGGUUCGUCAAGUUCGACGUGUUCGUGAACGAGUGCCAGGGCGGGGGCGGCAUGGGGGCGGCGGUGGCGCAGUGCGCGGGGAGCGUGGCGAUGACGCCGCACCUGGUUCGGCCCGGGAAGGGUAGGGGCUCCGUGAAGACCGCGGCGAGGUUCGGCAUCUGCGACCUGCUCGACAACAUCGGCGCUGACGGGGACAAGACGAUCGUCGUGUCGCUCGUGCCGAGGUGCGCCGGAGACAUGGUUACUGUCGGUGGCGUCCGGAUCGAGUAUGUUAAGUGAGGUCCUUCUAUUACGUCCUACCCUCCUACGAGUACAUCUCACAAGUGCUAGGGCCUAGAGACAACUGCUCUACGACCAGGAGUAUAUAUCAGGUAUACAUGAAUAACUGUGUGAUGCUGUACGUGUAUGGACGACUCCUGUUGAACUAUAUAUGUAGGGAACUAUUUGGGAUUGUGUUUGCGUGCCGCCGUGAUUAUAUAAUAUGGGCCAAUGUCAAUGCGACAUCAAUAAUUAACAAAUAAGGGCAUUAGUGUCUGUAAUGUGUAACAGCAUGACCAUAGAGAACAGUGACUACCGUGUCGCCGGAGAAAAACUUGUAAUGCGAUCGGAGAAAGGGUGGACACCAAUGGCAGUAUGUGGGGUGUAAAGCGCCACUCAGAUUGCUCAGAAGAUGGCAGAACCGCAUGUCAAACCAGUGACCGAUGUAAUGGUGUAGAUAAAUCACGACAUACGGAACUCAUCCAUUAACCAAAUCAAGGAAAAGCUGUACACAAAUUACGACAUACAAUACUAUCCAUUAAUCAACUCAAGGAGAUGCUCUAGAGAAAUUACGACAUAUGAAAUUCAUCCAUUCUCCAAUAUACCCAUUCGAAAGUGGCCCACACGAUGUAUGUGUGUGUGCGCGCGCGCGUGAUUCCCGUGUACUCAUCCGGGGUGUUCAGUACUAUUCACCACCAAGGCCUCGGAAUAGUGUGUGUAUAUGAGAGAGAGAGAGAGAGAGAGAUGCAACAUGCAUAUUUAUUUUUUAGACAAAGAAAUUACAUGCAUGUUUAUUAAGUUGUUGUAGAAAUUAGUAAACGAAGAUGUGGUUUGAAAGGCAAGAAAUGAUGUUGAAUGGUCGUUAGAUUUUGACAUAAAGAGUAUUCACUCUAUUACAUGCAGGUCAUCUUUAUAGAGCCACACACACUGGAUGAUAAGCUUAGGGUCCUGUUGCAAAAGUAGAAUACUGAAUAAUUAAGAUGCUGUGGAAACGACAGUCAUGGAUAUCUUUACCGGCCAUGCAUGGAUGAAAGUCAUCCGAUAGAGAUUUAUCACUUACUAUUCCGUUUGAGCCUAUUCCACCCAAACUUUAAUAAUAAAUGAUUUUGGAGGAUACGUUCGAACUUUGAUAAUGUAUGGCUUAUUAAGUAAUUCCCCGUCCAUUUUUAUACAUCGUUCUCACUCCUCAAACGUGUACCUAACUUUUACUAAAUAUAUAUUAAAAUAUUAAUAUUUAUAAUACAUAAUUAGUACCACUAGAUAGAUCUUUAAUUUAUUUUUACAAAAAAUUUAUUUAAAAAUACAAAUAUUUGCUAAUAUUUUAUAUUAAUCUAGUUAAGAUUAAAAAAAGUUUAACUAACACUCAUCUCAUAUAUAGCGACACAGACUAAGGGAUAGAGGGAAUAUUCCGUAUACAUCCUAUUCAAAGGACGACAUAAGCCUGUUUAAAUAAGUCAAAAUAAACCAAUGUGUUUUUUUAAAGGAAAAUAUAGUUGCACGCACCAACUUCAACUUGUGUGAGCACAUCUACAGUACCUCUUGCAGCAACAGCUCUUGUUUUUUUUUUUUUUGAAGGAAACAGCUCUUGCUUUAGUAGAAGCGAAUUCCCUUUUUCCCUUCUUCGAUCUGAAAAGAGACUUAUCAUCUGUUCUCUGGUCCAGGCAAAUCGCACAUAUCAGAAAAAGUGGUUUUUGCCACUUACCAAGUCCGAUCGAUGUUUACAGUAGGACUUUCGUGUGCUGCUGCUAGUACGUAGGUUCUCCUUUUUUCGUCGGAAAUAAUUAGUUACUCAUACGGAAUAAUGUGAACCGUCAUCUGCUCAUCACCAUCGUGGUUAUAGCAGUAGGACUUUCGUGCGCGUGUGACAAAAACGAAGCUGACAAACGUUCUGCGUGUGUGUCAGAUCGAUGUGGUAUAUAGCUAAGGCUAUCAGGAUAUAUUUGGUGUGUGGUACGAGUUCGAUCGGGCGCAUAUAGCUUGUCUAUACCAGCAGCAUGGUACACGAUCAUCGGCCCCCAGCCCGUUUCGUUAAUUACAGCGCAAGUUUUGUUCGGUUUAAAGUAUGCAUGUGCCGUGCGUGCAUCGCAAAAUUACAGUCACACACGACAAAGCAUAUGUAUAGACGUAUAGCACGUACUCCACCUGGCAACGAACCAAUCCUCGACACUUACGACACAUGUACGUAGAGUAGCACGUAACAAAACAAGCUAGUAGACCACAUGGUACGGCACAUCCAGCCCUAGCUAGUCGAUCAAUCACAUGUCCACACGUUCUGUAUAUUGCUUCUCGCGCUAAACUAUGGCAUUGGGCAAAAAAAACUUUUACCGAAUAAGACUCUGCCGAGACCCUUUUACCGAGUGUAAAUAUAUAUGGCUUUACCGAAACACUUGGCAAAGCAACUGGCUGCCGUAACAGGCCGGCCGAUCACAUGUCAUGCAACUCACAGGUUCACACUUCGUUCACAGCAGGUUCAUCACUGAGCAGCAGCUAGCGCCAUGGAGAGCAUCAUGUACUCAUGCCACGAGGUUUCGCCGCUCGUCGCGCGCCAUGCAUACCAUACUGUACGUACGUAGCCUCCAGACGCUCAGGAUGCAACGCUCUACCGGCGGUGCCCGACCGCCGCGACGUGCUCCUCGGCCUCGGUGUGGAGCGGCAGCUAGCGGCCGGCCUCCUCGAUCAAUAACGUCUUGCUAAAUUUGCUACAUUUUGAGUUUUCUCGUCAAUAAAUUUGGCUAGCUGUUCUAACCUUUAAGCCGUGGCAUCUUAUGACUGCCAAGCAAAACAAGCGCUAAAGCUCUUGUAGCAGGUAGCUACAAUCGUUUUGGUUCGACAGCCUCCAAUCCCUUUUGCUACUUAUAUAUGUACACCCUGCACUGCAAAUGCAUAUAUGAUCUCUUCAUCUCAACCAUUAAGAUAGGAACCUCUCAUCUGUACAUUCUUCUUCUUCCUCCGGUACGAGCUAACCGCACGUACAGAUCAGGAAAAUUAAAGGUAGGGUUCACCCAUCUGUCCGUGAUUCUCGCAUCUAGAUAGUUUAUCUGCGCUCACAAAUUGUUGCGUGUGUGUAAUUAGAUUCGGUUGAUAGAUAAGCAUGUCACGAUCUCGUGUACUUGUAUUCCGGUGAACUUUGCGUCAAACUGCAGCACCCAGGCCCAUAUAUACGUACUACUCAACCAGCAUGUCACGACCGGCUCCCUUUCGUUACCAAGUUUCCUUCGGUUUAAAAGCAUACAUAUAUAUGCACCGUUCUUUCAUUACUUUCUCCAGCUCCUGGAGGAGAAGACACGACCCAUAGCAUCACUUGCGUAUAACAAACUGUCAAACAACCAAACAGGCACGCAUCAGCAGUGAGAUACUCAGGUCAUAUGUACCCAUGAUGCCGUCUCGCAAAAAAAAUGUACCGAUGAUGUCAUAAUACUACAUCUAGAUAUAUAUACUCCCUCUACUCUAACUUGUAAGUAUUUUUCUAGCUUUUUUAAAUAUAUAAUUUUUGUUAUGCGGACGAGCCAAUAGCUCGGUUGGUAAAGCAUCCCCAUUGUGCAAUGAUGUAGGUCAGGAGUUCGACUCCCCACCUCCAUAUACGCAGGUUUGCUAGUUGUAAAUAAAAUUUUUCGUUUGUCCCAUGUCAAAGCACAGGUCUAAGGUUAGCCCUAGUCUUACGUGUGUUGCGGUACCGCUACGUAUGGGUAGGGCAGAGGUUCAAGUUUUUCUUGACCUAUAUGAAAAAAGUCUUCUUCUUAAUCACAAUGUCUGACCUACACACAAAGAUCCUAAGCACAGUGCCCCCGGUGUUGACACUCAAAAGUGUCCCAACAUGAAAUAUGGGCAUAACCAACACGUUUCUGACAUCCCAGAGGUGUUGGAAAUAGUUGGUGAAGUAAUCAAACAAAAAAGGAAGAAAGUGGCGUCUGCCUUGGCAGAGCCGACUUGGCUGACUUUGCAUAGUCGAUAAAACUAGUUCUUCAUGCCCCAAUUCGCUUAGCCGACUCCUAAGUCGGCUAAGCCGACUUUCCUCUAUGUCGGCCAAGCCACAAUGCUCAAACCUCGUGAAAAUCGGCUCAGCCGACUCCCAAGUCGGCUAAAGCCGGCUUUCAUUGGUAUUCCGAGUCAGUUUGGUUUCCGAAACAGUUUUGGACCCAUUUUAAACAGGGAAUUUGGAGAAUGUGUUUUGGAAUUGUUUCCUAGUAAGAUAAAACCACGCCGUCUCUAUAUACGAAAGGAUCAUGGUCGAUUAAGGAUCCCAACUUACAAUCAUCAAAAUACAUCUAUUACAGGCCUUUUACCCUCUUUUCUCCCUAUUCGUCAGUUCGUCACGUCUCCUAGCGAGAUUUAAUGGCGUUCGAGGCACCCUUGCUAGUCUUAGGAAACCCUCCGUGUGCUCCUCCUCGACGGAUCUUCCCAAGAGAUGCUCAAAAUUCUAACAGGUGAAAAACAGGCUCGACAUUGGCCUAACCGAUCUCUAGAUUGGUGUCUCGGUUCGCUGCAUUCUUGCUGUGAUCAAGGUCAUGUGUUUACCGUAGAUAUGCUAACCGUAGCUGGUGUGCGAUCCGAAACACUAUCCAACAUCAUUGCACCAACACCCAGGGGCCGUCGUAAUCCCUGCAGGUCGAGCUUUUUUUUGAGGGGGAGGGGGAGAGGGGAUGGACUUAGAUAUAUAUAUAUAUAUAUAUAUAUAUAUAUAUAUAUAUAUAUAUAUAUAUAUAUAUAUAUAUAUAUAUAUAUAUAUAUAUAUAUAUAUAUAAGUUAAAACAAGUUAUAAUUAGAAGGAAGGGAUAUAAAAAACUAUUCAAUCAUCUGUUCUGGUCGUCAGAGCUAAUCGCACUUACCAGUCCAUGACUCGCCUGUCAAACGACGAUGUUUAUAGCUGCUGCUUUUUUCGUCGGGAUUAAUGAACUGAUAGCGAAUGUGAACUGUGUGAUCUCCAUCCUACGGGGGUUAGCAGUAGCACUUACGUGCGCGUGUGACAAACGAAGCUGACAGCAUUCUGCGUGUGAGAUGUGGUACAGAUAGAGAGUAUAUAACUCUAAGCAUGUCACGAUUUAGUGUGUUCGGUGAAUUUUGCGUCAAAUUAAACGACCCAUACUUAGCUAUCAACAUUCUGCGUGUGAGAUGUGAUACAUAGAGUUAGAUAGCUACAGUACGUAAUUUUCUCUUGGUCUACGAGGAACUAUAUAUAUAGACGUACGUAGCACGCAUAGUUUUUUGAAACGAUUUUUUGUUUUUUUGAAACACGAGUAGCACGCAUAGUUGGCAACGAACCAAACAUCGACACGACACAUGUAGCAGUAGCACGUAAUAAACAGCCAAAUGAAACAUCAGUCUAGUAGCCGAUCAUAGCUCACACGUUCUAUAUAUAGCCACUCGAUCGGUAAACCAUGGCACGGCACCGAUCGCAGCUCACAAAGUUCACACACUUCACAGCACGCUCACCACUGAGCAGCACCUAGCGCCAUGUUGAGCGCCACCAUGCCACGAGGUUUCGCCGCGCUUCGCGCGCCGCCAUGCUGCAGCCUCCAGACGACGCUGAGGUGCAAGGCUACCGGCGGCGCCGACCGCCGUGACGUGCUCCUCGGCCUCGGCGGCGCGGCAGCGGCCGGCCUCCUCACGUCGUCGUCCAGCCGCGGCGGUGCGAUCGCGGCGCCGAUCCAGGCGCCGGACCUCCGGGACUGCCACCCGCCCGACCUCCCCGACACGGUGGGCGACGUCAACUGCUGCCCGCCGGGCGCGGGGACGGCGAUCGUCGACUUCACGCUGCCGCCGGCGGUCGGGCUCCGCGUUCGCCCGGCCGCGCACCUGGUGGACGAGGAGUACCUGGCCAAGUACGAGAAGGCCGUGGCGCUGAUGAAGGAACUGCCGGACGACGACCCGCGCAGCUUCGCGCAGCAGUGGCGCGUGCACUGCGCCAACUGCGACGGCGCGUUCGACCAGGUCGGGUUCCCGGACCUGGAGAUCCAGAUACACAACUGCUGGCUCUUCUUCCCGUGGCACAGGUGACGACGACGGAUCCAUGCAUGCUGGCGUACGUGUAGGGUGUCACAUGUGAACUAAGGCUCGUGUAUGCUUUAGCGAUUAAUAAUUAAUUAACGUGCAACUUUUGUUCUGAAGUUCAACGUCUAUUGCACUGCUUAAUUAGUUCUCUUUCACAAAUUGGACAACGCGUGCAGGUUCUACCUGUACUUCCACGAAAGGAUUCUUGGGAAGCUCAUCGGCGACGACAAGUUUGCACUGCCGUUCUGGAACUGGGACGCGCCCGGCGGCAUGUCGAUGCCGGCGAUCUACGCCAACAAGACCUCCCCGCUGUACGACGAAAGGCGUGACCCUGCUCACCAGCCGCCAUUCACGCUGGACCUCGACUACGACGGGACCGAGCCAACCAUACCAAGACAUCAGCAGAUCGAUCAGAACCUAAUGAUUAUGUACCGUCAGGUCAGUGUUAGUAUAGUCUUGUUGUACGCAAUAUUACAACCUCAGUUCUUGGAAGACCGCACUAACAUUGAACACUCAGUUCUUCGACGUAAUUGAACACUUCAUCACUGAUUAGCAUACGGAUGGAUACACAUGUAUGUCUCUUAUAUACGCCAGAUGAUCUCCGGUGCCAAGAAGAAGGAGCUCUUCUUUGGGCUUCCUUACCACCAGGGCGACCAGCCAGACCCCGGCGCAGGCAGCGUCGAGCUCAUCCCGCACAACACAGUACACUUCUGGAGCGGCGAUCCGAGGCAGCCCAACGGAGAGGACAUGGGCAACUUCUACUCCGCCGCGCGCGAUCCGCUCUUCUUCGCGCACCACGGCAACAUCGACCGCCUGUGGUCGGUCUGGAACGGCCUCCGCGCCGGCAACACCAACUUCACCGACCCCGACUGGCUGAACGCCAGCUUCCUUUUCUACGACGAGGAGGCCCGCCUCGUGCGCGUCCGCGUCCGCGACUGCCUCGACACGGCCGCCCUGGGAUACACCUACCAGGACGUCGCCCUGCCGUGGCUGAACGCCAAGCCGACCACGGAGACCGGGUCUCCGGCGCCCGCCGCGGGCGCGCUCCCGGCGACCCUGAACCGGACCGUGAGGGUGGCCGUGACGCGGCCCAGGACCUCGAGGACCCGCCAGGAGAAGGACGCGGAGGAGGAGGUGCUGGUCGUCGAGGGGAUCGAGGUCGCCGACCACUUCAGCAGGUUCGUCAAGUUCGACUUGUUCGUGAA